rnacentral:rRNA from 1 species
GAUGAACGCUGGCGGCGUGCCUAAUACAUGCAAGUCGAGCGAACAGACGAGGAGCUUGCUCCUCUGACGUUAGCGGCGGACGGGUGAGUAACACGUGGAUAACCUACCUAUAAGACUGGGAUAACUUCGGGAAACCGGAGCUAAUACCGGAUAAUAUAUUGAACCGCAUGGUUCAAUAGUGAAAGACGGUUUUGCUGUCACUUAUAGAUGGAUCCGCGCCGCAUUAGCUAGUUGGUAAGGUAACGGCUUACCAAGGCAACGAUGCGUAGCUGACCUGAGAGGGUGAUCGGCCACACUGGAACUGAGACACGGUCCAGACUCCUACGGGAGGCAGCAGUAGGGAAUCUUCCGCAAUGGGCGAAAGCCUGACGGAGCAACGCCGCGUGAGUGAUGAAGGUCUUCGGAUCGUAAAACUCUGUUAUUAGGGAAGAACAAAUGUGUAAGUAACUAUGCACGUCUUGACGGUACCUAAUCAGUAAGCCACGGCUAACUACGUG